AUUAAACAAAUGAAUUCAAAGCACUCAAAUAGCUGGGAUCUUCAAAGUGACAAGGACCUCAUCCCCGGGCCCAGGGCAGGCUGGCACUGCCAAGGGAACAUUUCCUGCAGUGGUGGAGCCGCUCACAGGGAGCGAGCAGGGGAGGGAAGCCAUGGACAGAGCACAGGAUGGCCAGGGAAGGGGCAGCAGCAGCUCCAGCCCUGCUGCACCCUCUGGGGACACAGGACAGACCAGAGCACUUUGCAGACAGUGUUUAAGCCCAGCCGUUCCCGGGACCAUUAGCCUUGAAAAGCCAGCAGAUACUGGAUCAUUUGAAAUAGUCUUGGAAAGCUUCCUCCUGACAAGAACCCUCUGAAGGCUCCUCCGGGUUUGGGAUUCUCCUUUGCCAAAUUUAUCUUAAAAACUAUUUUCAGCAGCAUUUUCCAUCCUGUCUGUUUUGUUUUUGGGUAAAAUCUCCACUAAGAAGUUUUUUUUUACUAUUUUUUUAAAUUAGUGCCUAAAGCUGACCUAGGAGGUGAAAUCCACCUUUCCCAAGCAAAUCAAUCCCCAGCAAUAAAUUCAGGAGGAAAGGGUUGGGUUGGGUUGGG
rnacentral:lncRNA from 1 species